CACUGAUGUAAUGGAUUAAGUUUUAGAAGCUCGUUGUUGAAUUUGGGCCUUAGAAAUGCCAGCAAAACCUAAAAAAACUGAGUUAAAUACAACCAUUUUGGUUUACACAUUGUAUAUAUCAGUGUCUAUCCAAACAAAAGGAAAUAUACAAUGUGGUCUGCAUCCGGAUGAGAGUGAAGAAUAUGUGAAAAAGCUCAUUGAAGACGUUACCUUGAAAAGGAGGACAAAACCUCUGGCCGAUGGUGUGUGUCAAAUGCAGCGGAAGUCAUCCUGAAAGGACGAAUGGAGAUUACAGAGGACAAACAGCUUAUUUUCCAACACAAUGCUGUUGAUAAUGUAUUAAAUUAAUGACCCGGCAUACGAAGAAUAGAGAUAAAUGUAACAUACAAGCGUGCUAUGAAUAACUAUGAAACUGUCAUGCGGAAGCACUUUCAUUUAAACGUUUCUCCAAGAAAGACUUAAUCAAAAAUGUCAGCUCAGCAAGAAGCAGCUGACUUCCUCCCGCCCCAUCUUUUGUAGUCCUUCCUUAGAGAGUCCAUCCCCUGAAUCACAGCCCGCUCUAGAAUCCUGUGACCUUGAGCAAAUUGCCCAGCCUUCCUUUUGUCUCCCUCAGUUAUUUGUCCUUUCUUUCCAUUUUUGUUUUCUUAUCGCAUUUUAUCAUAGCUGUUAGCCAUGAACUGGUGGAUAUUCUGCAAUGAAAUCUGUGCAACUCAAAUGGCUUUUUAUAAUACGGUGAUGGAUCAUGUUGAGGGCUUGAUGAAUCGUGCCAUCGUUACAUUAAUGAAAUGUUUUCCUGCGACAGCCAUGAUUUUCACAGAGCAAAUUGAUGCAAUAGAAAUGAGC